rnacentral:rRNA from 1 species
AGAGUUUGAUCCUGGCUCAGGAUGAACGCUGGCGGCGUGCCUAACACAUGCAAGUCGAGCGAUUCUCUUCGGAGAAGAGCGGCGGACGGGUGAGUAACGCGUGGGUAACCUGCCUCAUACACAUGGAUAACAUACCGAAAGGUAUGCUAAUACAAGAUGAUAUAAGAGAUUCGCAUGGAUUUUUUAUCAAAGCUCCGGCGGUAUGAGAUGGACCCGCGUCUGAUUAGCUAGUUGGUAAGGUAACGGCUUACCAAGGCGACGAUCAGUAGCCGACCUGAGAGGGUGAUCGGCCACAUUGGAACUGAGACACGGUCCAAACUCCUACGGGAGGCAGCAGUGGGGAAUAUUGCACAAUGGGCGAAAGCCUGAUGCAGCAACGCCGCGUGAGCGAUGAAGGCCUUCGGGUCGUAAAGCUCUGUCCUCAAGGAAGAUAAUGACGGUACUUGAGGAGGAAGCCCCGGCUAACUACGUGCCAGCAGCCGCGGUAAUACGUAGGGGGCUAGCGUUAUCCGGAUUUACUGGGCGUAAAGGGUGCGUAGGUGGUUUCUUAAGUCAGGAGUGAAAGGCUACGUCUCAACCGUAGUAAGCUCUUGAAACUGGGAAACUUGAGUGCAGGAGAGGAAAGUGGAAUUCCUAGUGUAGCGGUGAAAUGCGUAGAUAUUAGGAGGAACACCAGUAGCGAAGGCGGCUUUCUGGACUGUAACUGACACUGAGGCACGAAAGCGUGGGGAGCAAACAGGAUCAGAUACCCUGGUAGUCCACGCCGUAAACGAUGAGUACUAGGUGUCGGGGGUUACCCCCUCGGUGCCGCAGCUAACGCAUUAAGUACUCCGCCUGGGGAGUACGCUCGCAAGAGUGAAACUCAAAGGAAUUGACGG